AGAUAUCCAGUUAAAUUUUAGUAUCAGAUAAGUAAUGAAUACUUUUAUAGGAUAAGUAUGUCCUAUACAAUAUUUGGGACAUACUUGUACUAAAACUAAUUUUUGUUUAACUGAAAUUCAAAUUUAACUGGGCACUUUGUA
rnacentral:miRNA from 1 species